GCCGGGUGCAGUGGCACGUGCCUGUAGCCCCAGCUACUCGGGAGGCUGAGGCUGGAGGAUCGCUUGAGCUCAGGAGUUCCAGGGUGCAGUGCGCUAUGCCGAUCGGGUAUCUGCACUAAGUUCGGCAUCAAUAUGGUGACCUCUCGGUGGGGGGAGGGGGCACCAGGUUGCCUGAGGAGGGGUGAACCAGCCCAGGUCGGAAAUGGAGCAGGUCAAAACUCCCAUGCUGAUCAGUAGUGGGAUCACAACUGCACUCUAGCCUGGGCAACAUAGCGAGAUCCCAUCUCUU
ensembl:misc_RNA Metazoa_SRP Metazoan signal recognition particle RNA